rnacentral:rRNA from 1 species
CAGAGGUGUGACGGGGAGCGAAAUAAAAGUAGCGAAGUCCGGAUACAUGCUGUCAAGAAAAGCCGCUAUUGCGCCAUAUGUACCCGUACCGUAAACCGACACAGGUGGAUGAGGAGAGAAUCCUAAGGCCGGCGGGAGAAGUGUUGUUAAGGAACUCGGCAAAAUGGCCCCGUAACUUCGGGAGAAGGGGCGCCCAGAAAUGGGCCGCAGAGAAAAGGCUCAAGCAGCUGUUUAGCAAAAACACAGGUCUAUGCGAAACCGAAAGGUGAGGUAUAUGGGCUGACGCCUGCCCGGUGCUGGAAGGUUAAGGGGAGAGGUUAGCCGCAAGGCGAAGCUUUGAACUUAAGCCCCAGUAAACGGCGGCCGUAACAAUAACGGUCCUAAGGUAGCGAAAUUCCUUGUCGGGUAAGUUCCGACCCGCACGAAAGGCGUAAUGAUUUGAGCACUGUCUCGACAACACACCCGGUGAAAUUGAAAUACCAGUGAAGAUGCUGGUUACCUGCGCCAGGACGGAAAGACCCCAUGGAGCUUUACUCUAGUUUGAUACUGGGACCCGGUAUGACAUGUACAGGAUAGGUGGGAGGCAAAGAAUUAAUGACGCCAGUCAUUAAGGAGCCGAUGUUGGGAUACCACCCUUGUGAUGCCAGGUUUCUAACGAGCUGCCGUGAACCGGCAGGCGGACAAUGUCAGGCGGGGAGUUUGACUGGGGCGGUCGCCUCCGAAAGGGUAUCGGAGGCGCUCAAAGGUUCCCUCAGAAUGGUUGGAAACCAUUCGGAGAGUGCAAAGGCAGAAGGGAGCCUGACUGCGACACCGACGGGUGGAGCAGGUACGAAAGUAGGACUUAGUGAUCCGGUGGUAUAAAGUGGGAUUGCCAUCGCUCAACGGAUAAAAGCUACCCUGGGAUAACAGGCUUAUCACUCCCAAGAGUUCACAUCGACGGAGUGGUUUGGCACCUCGAUGUCGGCUCAUCGCAUCCUGGGGCUGGAGUAGGUCCCAAGGGUUGGGCUGUUCGCCCAUUAAAGCGGUACGCGAGCUGGGUUCAGAACGUCGUGAGACAGUUCGGUCCCUAUCCGGCGCGGGCGUAAGAGAUUUGAGAGGAGCUGUCCUUAGUACGAGAGGACCGGGAUGGACGGACCACUGGUGUAUCUGUUGCACCACCAGGUGCACGGCAGAGUAGCCAAGUCUGGAAGGGAUAAACGCUGAAGGCAUCUAAGCGUGAAGCCCCCCUCAAGAUAAGAUCUCUCAUUCGAAAGAAGUAAGACCCCUUGAAGACGACGAGGUAGAUAGGGCAGGGGUGGAAGGGCAGUAAUGUCCGGAGCUGACUGUUACUAAUCGGUCGAGGGCUUGACC